rnacentral:rRNA from 1 species
CCUACGGGGGGCAGCAGUGAGGAAUAUUGGUCAAUGGACGAGAGUCUGAACCAGCAACGUAGCGUGAAGGAUGACUGCCCUAUGGGUUGUAAACUUCUUUUAUAAAGGAAUAAAACGAGGCACGUGUGCCUUUUUGCAUGUACUUUAUGAAUAAGGAUCGGCUAACGCCGUGCCAGCAGCCGCGGUAAUACGGAGGAUCCGAGCGUUAUCCGGAUUUAUUGGGUGUUAAGGGAGCGUAGAUGGGUUGUUAAGUCAGUUGCUAAAGUUUGCGGCUUAACCGUAAAAUUGCAAUUGAGACUGGCAGUCUUGAGUACAGGUGAGGUAGGCGGAAUUCGUGGUGUAGCGGUGAAAUGCGUAGAUAGCAGGAAGAACCCCGAUGGCGAAGGCAGCUUACUAAACUGUGACUGACAUUGAUGCGCGAAAGUGUGGGUAGCAAACAGGAUUAGAUACCCGGGUAGUC